GGCGGCGUGCUUAACACAUGCAAGUCGAACGGUGAACCAGGGCUUGCCCUGGGAUCAGUGGCGAACGGGUGAGUAACACGUGGGCAACCUGCCCCUGACUCUGGGAUAACUCCUCGAAAGAGGUGCUAAUACCGGAUACGACCACUUCGGGCAUCCGAUGGUGGUGGAAAGAAUUUUGGUCAGGGAUGGGCCCGCGGCCUAUCAGCUUGUUGGUGGGGUAACGGCCCACCAAGGCGACGACGGGUAGCCGGCCUGAGAGGGCGACCGGCCACACUGGGACUGAGACACGGCCCAGACUCCUACGGGAGGCAGCAGUGGGGAAUAUUGCGCAAUGGGCGAAAGCCUGACGCAGCGACGCCGCGUGAGGGACGACGGCCUUCGGGUUGUAAACCUCUUUCAGCAGGGACGAAGCGAAAGUGACGGUACCUGCAGAAGAAGCACCGGCUAACUACGUG
rnacentral:rRNA from 1 species